rfam:Cavia porcellus supercont2_105 genomic scaffold, whole genome shotgun sequence.
UGGUGCCCACGUUGGACAUGAGAAUGAGGAAUUUCAUGAGGGACACUGUUCAUGGGCUCAAAGUAGAAAGAGGAAAAGAAAAUAGAGGACCUAGUGAAGUGGGAGCCUGCCACGCUGCGCUGAACCUUGGUAAGUGAACAGUGAUUAUGGGACAAGAAAUUAGCCAGCAUGAGAUUUUUGUUGAAAAUUUAGUAAAAGUUUUAAAGGCAUGAGGGGUAAAGUUGAAUAUUGAGGAAUUAUGCCAAUACUUCGAUUUUAUAAAAGAGGUUUGCCCUU